UAAGCGGCCUGCCACCUGAAUCGGCAGUCUACGCGGUGUUGGACCUCAAACUCUCUUCAGUUUGCCAUUGGCCGCAGCCAGUCAAUCCGUUGGCUUUGAAUGGCUUGAUCCAGAGCUGGGCUGCAACUGUCAGCUCACUUGAACCAUGCUGCAACAGGGACUCGGGAACUCUCCUACCAUCUAUGAUGAGGUGCCGCACGGGGACCUGGAGGAUAUUUUGAAGCAACCUCCUGACAGCUGGCGGUCCAGUGCUGAGUUGGCUCAUUAUCCUCAUUAUGAGUCCCUGCUUUUGAACCCGACUCGCAUCAACACUCAACCCCACCGCCCUGCUGUAAGACCUCGACACAGCCAUCAAGCAUGAGUGCCCCGUUGUUCUGCAGCACAUCCAGAAUCUCCACCUGACUGAUAGCCUUGGCCCGAUGUGGAUCAGACACUCUUCACAGAUGGAAGCAGCUUCAUCCAGAACAGCACCAGAGAUUAAUGAAGUGAAAGCAACGAUCAAAACAUUGAGUUUCUAUAUGCCAAGGGCUACAAUAAAAAACUGAGGUGGGCAAGUUGAAGAUAGAACGUCGUUCAAGCUUUUCAUCGCUACUACUGCUAUUACCACCGCUACACUGCUACUACUCUCUCUCACACACACACGCAUACACACACACAAUCAGUGAAAACGGUAUGUAAGUAAGCACUGAAUGAAAAGUACUUGUGAGGGUUUUAUUUUGGUUUUGUUUUCACAAAGCUGUUUACGUGAAGAGAGGAGACAUUAUAUUAGGGCAAUGCACAGAAACAGCUACAACAAACCUGACGUCUACCAUAAAAGAAGCUACAAUGAAUGACUUUAAAUAUGCUCUCCAGGACAUCUGUGUAUCACGCUAACAUCUUUCUUCAUAGUUCUGAUGCUUGGAAAAAGGCAAAGGAGUGACGAGAAAUUCAAAUCCAGGUUUUAUAUCUGUGUCCUUGGGCAUUACCGUACUUGGGACUCAAAACAUGAGGACAUUGACAACAUGUAAAAUCUUUCCAACAAUAGUCCAAUAAUUUUAGACCAAGAUGACAAAAGUUCAUCUGAAAAGAAUGUCAAGACAGCCACAAGGCCUGCAGGCUUUUCUAGGUUUUCCCAAGCAUGGAGCUCAACUAAAGGUUGAGCAACAUUGGUAUGUAAGAAUAUCCAAUAUUAACUGGUCAACAUGAAGGUUCCAACAUCAUGGUUAUUAAGUACAGGCCAUUGUCAUUCACAGUCAUACCCCCAGAGACUUUGGCAUGAUCCAAACAUGAAAAUAGUUUCAGUUGAUACAGCCAGAUAUGGCGGGGGACAGUAGACUUGAAAAGGAAGGGGAUGUAACUGACAUGGUAAAUAGAGGGAUACUUCUAAACAGUGAUGCCUAGGACACAGACAUACAACAAAGAAAUGAGUCCCCGGAUGUAUUAGUACUAAAGUUCAGCUAUUUGAAUACAAUGAAUGAGAAGUGAAGAAACAGGUGGGGUGAUUUAGCAGGCUAGGGCCAUGUAGGGGUGAAGGCCUCCUGUGACACUCUCCAGCUCCUCCAGAACCAUAAAUCUAGAUAUUGUAUGAAUGCUUCUAUCAUUUAAAUCUUGGUGAUAUGUUGGAAUUUGGUCUGAUGCAUGUUACCCAGUCCUCAAGAUCUGGUUCUGAUUAUCCUUGUUUUGUAAACCUGCUUAAGACAUACCUUACUGGUUGGUUAAACAUCCUAUACCUGGACAGGGCAGAAUGGGGUAGAUGUGGCUAAGGUUCCAGGGCUUUUGGGUUCAAGAGAUAAUCACGGGAAUGAGACAGACAGGAAAAGAGGAGGAAGGAAGAUGGGUUAGCUUGGAGAAGAAACCACAUGGGAUGGGAGAAAGGACUCCAAUAAUGAUGUGGAAAGGACUAGAUGAAGAAUACAAGCAAAUAUUUAUAAGAUUAUGAAUAGAAGAUAGUUCAGAGGAGGAUGACUAAGGCAGAUAGCAUUGGAUAGGGGUUGAAAGAUGAAUGUUAAGGUAAAAAUAUCCUUCUGGCCCAAACUAAACAAGGCAAUUAAAACUCUAACAUGUGUCUGUGUCUUAUCAUUUGUGAUAGUGGGUUAAAUAAUUCCAGUGUGAUAAUCUUAAAGCUAAUAUUA